rnacentral:sRNA from 1 species
AUUCUGCCCAUGCGGGGAAGGAUGAGAAGCUUCGACCAAGGUUCGACUUGAGCGCCAGCGAGAGAGCGUUGCCGCAGGCAACGACCCGAAGGGUGAAGCGCGCAGCGCUGAGUAAUCCUUCCCCCACCACCA